AACUAACGCUGGCGGCGUGCCUAACACAUGCAAGUCGUACGAGAAAGUUGGCUUCGGCCGAUGAGUACAGUGGCGCACGGGUGAGUAACGCGUGGAUAAUCUGCCCUUAAGUGUGGAAUAACGUACCGAAAGGUGCGCUAAUACCGCAUAAUGCCUGGCAACAUAAGUUGUCCGGCCAAAGAAGGCCUCUGCUUGCAAGCUUUCGCUAAAGGAUGAGUCCGCGUACCAUUAGCUAGUUGGUGGGGUAACGGCCUACCAAGGCGACGAUGGUUAGCUGGUCUGAGAGGAUGAUCAGCCACACUGGAACUGAGACACGGUCCAGACUCCUACGGGAGGCAGCAGUGAGGAAUAUUGCGCAAUGGGGGCAACCCUGACGCAGCAACGCCGCGUGAGUGAGGAAGGUUUUCGGACUGUAAAGCUCUGUCGAGCGGGAAGAAGGUGUACCAUGGCUAAUAUCCAUGAUAUUUGACGGUACCGCUAGAGG
rnacentral:rRNA from 1 species